AUUGAACGCUGGCGGCAUGCCUUACACAUGCAAGUCGAACGGCAGCACGGGUGCUUGCACCUGGUGGCGAGUGGCGAACGGGUGAGUAAUACAUCGGAACGUACCUUAUCGUGGGGGAUAACGCAGCGAAAGCUGUGCUAAUACCGCAUACGCCCUGAGGGGGAAAGCGGGGGCUCGAAAGACCGCGCGCUAUUAGAGCGGCCGAUGCCUGAUUAGCUUGUUGGUGGGGUAAAAGCCCACCAAGGCGACGAUCAGUAGCUGGUCUGAGAGGACGAUCAGCCACACUGGGACUGAGACACGGCCCAGACUCCUACGGGAGGCAGCAGUGGGGAAUUUUGGACAAUGGGGGCAACCCUGAUCCAGCAAUGCCGCGUGAGUGAAGAAGGCCUUCGGGUUGUAAAGCUCUUUUGUCAGGGAAGAAACACCGGCUCUAACACAGUCCGGGAAUGACGGUACCUGAAGAAUAAGCACCGGCUAACUACGUGCCAGCCGCCGCAGUAA
rnacentral:rRNA from 1 species